rnacentral:rRNA from 1 species
AUUGAACGCUGGCGGCAGGCCUAACACAUGCCAGUCGAGCGGAUGAAGGGAGCUUGCUCCUGGAUUCAGCGGCGGACGGGUGAGUAAUGCCUAGGAAUCUGCCUGGUAGUGGGGGAUAACGUCCGGAAACGGGCGCUAAUACCGCAUACGUCCUGAGGGAGAAAGUGGGGGAUCUUCGGACCUCACGCUAUCAGAUGAGCCUAGGUCGGAUUAGCUAGUUGGUGGGGUAAAGGCCUACCAAGGCGACGAUCCGUAACUGGUCUGAGAGGAUGAUCAGUCACACUGGAAGUGAGACACGGUCCAGACUCCUACGGGAGGCAGCAGUGGGGAAUAUUGGACAAUGGGGGAAAGCCUGAUCCAGCCAUGCCGCGUGUGUGAAGAAGGUCUUCGGAUUGUAAAGCACGUUAAGUUGGGAGGAAGGGCAGUAAGUUAAUACCUUGCUGUUUUGACGUUACCAACAGAAUAAGCACCGGCUAACUUCGUG